rnacentral:rRNA from 1 species
UACGUAGGGUGCAAGCGUUAAUCGGAAUUACUGGGCGUAAAGCGUGCGCAGGCGGUUCUGUAAGACAGAUGUGAAAUGCCCGGGCUUAACCUGGGAACUGCAUUUGUGACUGCAUGGCUAGAGUUUGGCAGAGGGGGGUAGAAUUCCACGUGUAGCAGUGAAAUGCGUAGAUAUGUGGAGGAACACCGAUGGCGAAGGCAGCCCCCUGGGUCAAGACUGACGCUCAUGCACGAAGGCGUGGGGAGCAAACAGG